rnacentral:lncRNA from 1 species
CACUAGUCGUAGUCAAAGUGGUAAAUAAAGAUUUAAAAUACACGAACUUGUUUCCUCCGGCGAUCCUCCAUCAAGCCCUAGCCUUUCCCGCCGCUCCCAUCUCUCUCGGUUCUCCCGCGACCACGGGCGAUCGAUAGGUGGCAAGAAUAAGAGGCGCAGCUGCAGGAGAAGCGGCGACCGCUAAAGGUGAGAUCUUUCUUCUUCCCAGUUCGUUUUGGACGUUCUUUUCCCGACGACGCCCAAUCCUGUUGCUGAGUGAACCUACUCCUUACAUCGCUCGAAUGGCUGAAACCUUGAGCAUUACUGAUUCCAUAAAAAUAGAACGUGAUCAUGGAUCUCAGAGUGGUGAGUACAGGUUCGAUGUAUGUCUUCGAACAAGGGCCGAAUUUGACUGUGACAUGCUGAUCGUGGCUCUGCCGCAGGAAGUGAUGAUCAUGCUGUUUUAACCAGCCUGUAUCUAUUGAUUUCUCGGUGAUAAAGGACAAGAUUUUUGUGUGAUGCUACUGCUGGUAGUACAUAUUUGUUCCUGAAAAGGAUGGUGUGAGGAUGCAAUGGAUGUGGAGCAUGUCAUCUUUACUUGGAUUUCUUUGAAUGUUUUGUUGUUAUUUCUUCCUAGGACAUGUUAAGUCUAAAUUGAACUAUAAUUUCAAGUUCUUUUGUUUCGAUGAUUGUAAGAACCCUAGAAGAAGGUCAGGGUCUUAAUAGAAUCUCUUCUUCUGAACUUACAGGACCUGUUGUUAACUCAUUUUGGCUCAUUUGGAUGUAUCGUGAUGAAUGGCUAUUCUGCAACCGUCAAGUCCAACCAUUCUCCAUUUAGUGCAGACCAAGGGUUAGAGUUUGUAUCGGAGUGUGAUGGCCCUUUUAGUCCUAACUAUGAGAACUCUUGCUUGACUAUAUCAAGAUUUCUUAUGGACACAUCAUUAUUAGCAGAGCAUGCGAUCCAAUCCAAGCUGAGUGCAAAGCCAUAUCUGUUGAUCUUGUCCAUGCUGCACAUGACGGCUUCCAAAGGAUAUGGAGCCACUCAAGCUCGUUACAACUUUUCAACUAUCGGAAUAGUUCCAAUGGAGUCCCAUGAAAUUUGAGAUGCAUUUUGUCCAAUUGCUAUCAUUUAGCUGAGUGUUAAGCACAUUGUGUGGCAUAUACUUGCUAAUGUUUAUUAGAAUUAAAGAAGAGUCUCAGAACUAGGGAGGUGAAUCCAAAUCAUAUUGCAAAAUCUUUUGUACGAAUGAUAUACUUAAAGAAAAAGAAUGGAAUGAAAUUUAUUUUUGGUAAAGAAAUGAAAGAGAGAUUUGGGAACUGCUUUGCUUCUGCUCUUGCGUAUAUAACCAACUCAGUUUCUGCUUCUUGCCUUUCAGGUACCAUUAGACACUGACAGAGCAGGCAUUCCAGAAAAUCCAGUUAAAGAGGAUGUGAAAGAAGCUUUACCUAACAUCUCGGAAUCUGUCAACGAAACCAGCGACGCCUAUUGGAACGCACAACAACAAUGUAAAGGAGAAUGUAGUACCUAUUCAAGAAUUCAUAGACAAGAAAAUGUGUUUCUCAGUUGUCACAGAGUUCCGGUGAUAAAAUUCUUAGCGAGCAUGUUGGGACAGCUUUGAUGGAUAAAACUAAGCAAGUCCAAAGUUCCUAGCGGAAGCAAAUAGCAGGAGAUUGGAAAAACUAAUGGCAGAAAGAAAUUAUAAUUGUUGAUUUUGUUUGUGUGUGUUGGAACACUGAUGCCUCAAUAUGUGUUUUCCACUUGGGAUUAGGUGAGACAAGUAUCUAAAGAAAUGCCUCAAUAUGUUGGUCUGAAACUUGAAUGUAUUACAUGAGAUCUUGCUUAUUGAAAAUUUGACAUGAUAUCUAACACUAAAACACAGUUAUGUUUACUGGCUAGUUUUUGUUUAUGAGUGUUUCAAUUUAGAACAAUUGUUCUGAUGGUUAUGAAUGCUCAAUGAUU